AGCCUUCUGUAUCCGUUCUGAGAUUGUGUCACAUACCAGACCACAAGAGCUGAUGAAACUUCCAAGAUAAGUGAAGUG
rnacentral:pre_miRNA from 1 species